GCUUGUCUCAAAGAUUAAGCCAUGCAUGUUUAAACAUAAGUAUCAUAAAGCGAAGUUGCGAAUGGCUCAUUAUAUCAGUUAUAAUAUACUAGAUAGUUUCUCUACUUGGAUAACCGUAGUAAUUCUAGAGCUAAUACAUGCUAAAAACCCCGACUUCGGAAGGGGUGUAUUUAUUAGAUACAAAACCAAUGCCCUUCGGGGCUCCUUGGUGAUUCAUGAUAACUAUACGAAUCGCACGGCCUUGCGCCGGCGAUGGUUCAUUCAAAUUUCUUCCCUAUCAACUUUCGAUGUUUGGGUAUUGGCCAAACAUGGUUGCAACGGGUAACGGAGGGUUAGGGCUCGACCCCGGAGAAGGAGCCUGAGAAACGGCUACUACAUCCAAGGAAGGCAGCAG
rnacentral:rRNA from 1 species